rnacentral:lncRNA from 10 species
UCCGAGUCUGUGCGGGGAACCCACUGUGAGAAGGCUUGUGACAGGAGCCGGGGGCCUGGAACCUGACGGGGAGCUGCCUCUCUCACCUGGGCCUCCUUAGUGCCGCUCAAGGCCUGGCACACAGUAGGUGCUCUCACACAGGACAUAUCCAAGCUACCUGAUGGAAGACAGACGGGCCUGAGAACGAAACAGAGGCAGCCUGCACAGCCAAAAAGCAAUUCAUUCUGACAGGAGCCCCAGAAGGUGGUACUUAACAAGAACUUUGAAGGCUGUGAAGAAAUUUAGUAAUGUGUGGCAGGGAUAUGUAUUCUGCAGAAAGAACAGACAUUUUAUUAUUGAAAGAGGUUUGAGGAUCUGACAUACAUAUAUUUGGGUUGUGGGGAGAGUGUUUACCUGUGAAAAGGCUGCACAUUGCAAAUCCUCAGUGUUAAGGGCAGUGCCUGUCACAAAGUAGGUGCUCAAUACGUAUUAGUGCAAUAAUGAAUUUCAAGGACAGA